rnacentral:lncRNA from 1 species
CACGGCCCGCCCGCCGAGCUGAGGUGUCAGGCGCAGCCGUGUAUGUUUCCUACCAGGGACGCUGCUUUGAAGUGCCGGGUGGGAGGCCUCUGCACUCGGCCCCCUAGGAGCAAGUGAAACUAGACUGAGCACAAAGGAGAAGAGAAGGAAAAAAAAGAGGAAAGAAGCAGAUGAAUUCAGCAGAAUUGGAGUCCAGUUCUCUAGGAAGCACCUCCUGGUAAUCUCUGGCCACCCUGGAGUUGUCAUCCCUGCAGAUUAUUGAAAUGGCUCGCCUAUGCAGCUGGCUAGGAUCCAAUUUGGCUACAGCCCGCCCUCGCUGAAGUCCGUGUUCAGUUCAUCUCUCUGGUAAUCCUCUGACUCUACUCUUGGAUUUAGUCCAAGUAUCUCUCUUGUUCUUAAUGAGUUCCAGGACGGAAGAUUCCACAGCCUCCUCUGACAGCUUAUAUUAUAGUGCUUUAUAAUACUGUCAAGAAAUGCCUAUUUCUACUACAACUCAUUUCCUCUUUUUCUAAAUGAGUGAAAAUAGAGAUGAGACCACCGCUGUCUUCUCUCCUGGUAGCCCUUGUGUCCUAUGAUCCUGUGAAGGUAGUUUAGUGCGUUAGCCCUCAAGUUUCUUUCUGGAAAGUGUAGGGGAAUAUAUCUUUGUAUGUUCCCAAUCUGAGGCACUAUUAAAUGUGAAUGAAUCAACUCUCUUGAGAGUUGAAGUGAUUCUUUUGGGUACUUGUUCCAGCUGAGCUGUUAUCUCACAAAGACUUGUUUCUUUUCCUAGUUGGCAUUCAUUUAAUACUUUCACAUAAGCCUGAGGAGGGCUGACAGUUUAUUUUCCUGAUGAUUGGGCAAAGCUCAUUGUUCUGACACUAACCUGUCUGCUUAAUAUCCAGCUCUUUGAACCCAUGUCUGAUCCUCAGUUCUGGAACCUUGCCUCCUGUUUGCAGUAUGGUCACUUCAAGGUCUAUGGCUUAUAUUGAC